AUAAUUUUUUAUUUCCAACACACUCAACCAACUGACAUUGAUUUAGAAUACUCAAAUGACCAAAGCCUCCAACUCAAGAUUCGAAUUGCAGAAGAAAUAAAUCACUCACCGGAAAUAUUGUUUAUGAAGAAGAGAUGAAACCAAUUCCAGGGCCUUCCCAAGAUACCACCAUUAUCCAUCAUUUUCCUUGACGAUCCACCAGAAAUAGAAAAGCACCCUCACAUCCACAAGACUUCAUUUGUCAGCGGGCAUCACUUCCUCAUUUGCAGGAGUCGAACAAGGAUAAGGUCCAUACAAAGUCAGCAUCUAAAGGCAGGUAUUUGUACCAGUUUGACGUAAAUAAUGUAUUCUUCCAUGGAGAUCUGGAGGAGAAAGUAUAUAUGGAAAUGCCACAAGGGUAUUCGAAGGAGGGCCAGGCAAAGUUUUGUUAGCUUAAUAAAAGUUUGUAUGGUUCAAAGCAAGCUUCACAAUAAUGGAAUUCUAAGUCAUCUGAUUUUAUUGUUCAACAAGGCUUUCAACAAUCAAAGAUUCAAAAUCAAAGAUCUGGGGUAAUUGAAGAAUUUUCUCGGUGUAGAGACAGCAAGAUCAUAAAAGGGGAUUUAUAUUUGCCAAAGAAAAUAUGAGCUAGACAUAUUGGCAAAUUCUGGAACAAUUUGAUCAAAACCAACCAAAAUACCACUUGAUCAAAACCUCAAGCUUUUGAAGGAUGAAGAAGAAGAACUUAUCCCAAGUACUUCUAUUUACAGAAGACUCAUUGGAAGGUUGCUCUAUUUGACCAUAACCAUAACCAUACCUGACAUAUCAUAUGUAGUCUAAUUAUUGAGCCAAUUUAUGCAGAAUCCCAUGCUUCCUUAUUUGAAUGCAGCUCACAAAGCAUUGAGAUACAUUAAACAAGCACCAGGACCAUGAUUAUUUUAUUCUUCGACAUCUACCCUAAAGCUUAGAGCUUAUAGUAAUUCGGACUGGGGGCAUGCUUAGAUACAAGAAGAUCAGUAACAAGGUAUUGUGCGUUCAUUGGCUCUUCUUUGGCAUCUUGGAAAUCUAAGAAACAGAACACAAUUUCAAGGUCCUCGACUGAGGCCGUGAAUAGGUCCAUGGCCAAUGUAUUCUUUGAAUUAAGCUGGCUUAGAUACUUCAUGAUUUGCAAAUACAAUAUCCUCAAGCAGCUAUGCUAUUUUGUUAUAAUAAAGCUACUUUACACAUUGCAGCAAACCCGAUUUUCCAUGGACAGACAAAGCAUACAGAGCUUGACUGCCAUUUAGUCCAUGAUAAAGUUCAAGAUGUGAGUGUUGUGACAGAGUAUGUAAACAGUGCCUAUAAUGUUGCCAAUAUGUUAACUAAGCGACAAGCUUUUCUUUUAACUAGUAAGAAUUCCA